AUACGGAGGGGGUUAGCGUUGUUCGGAAUUACUGGGCGUAAAGCGUACGUAGGCGGAUUAGUAAGUUAGGGGUGAAAUCCCGAGGCUCAACCUCGGAAUUGCCUCUAAAACUGCUAGUCUUGAGUUCGAGAGAGGUGAGUGGAAUUCCUAGUGUAGAGGUGAAAUUCGUAGAUAUUAGGAGGAACACCAGUGGCGAAGGCGGCUCACUGGCUCGAUACUGACGCUGAGGUGCGAAAGCGUGGGGAGCAAACAGGAUUAGAAACCCCAGUAGUCC
rnacentral:rRNA from 1 species